rnacentral:rRNA from 1 species
GGCAACGCCGCGUGAGUGAUGAAGGCUUUCGGGUCGUAAAACUCUGUUGUUAGGGAAGAACAAGUACGAGAGUAACUGCUCGUACCUUGACGGUACCUAACCAGAAAGCCACGGCUAACUACGUGCCAGCAGCCGCGGUAAUACGUAGGUGGCAAGCGUUAUCCGGAAUUAUUGGGCGUAAAGCGCGCGCAGGCGGUUUCUUAAGUCUGAUGUGAAAGCCCACGGCUCAACCGUGGAGGGUCAUUGGAAACUGGGGAACUUGAGUGCAGAAGAGAAAAGCGGAAUUCCACGUGUAGCGGUGAAAUGCGUAGAGAUGUGGAGGAACACCAGUGGCGAAGGCGGCUUUUUUGGUCUGUAACUGACGCUGAGGCGCGAAAGCGUGGGGAGCAAACAGGAUUAGAUACCCUGGUAGUCCACGCCGUAAACGAUGAGUGCUAAGUGUUAGAGGGUUUCCGCCCUUUAGUGCUGCAGCUAACGCAUUAAGCACUCCGCCUGGGGAGUACGGUCGCAAGACUG